rnacentral:rRNA from 1 species
UACGUAGGAGACGAGCGUUGUCCGGAAUUACUGGGCGUAAAGCGCGUGUAGGCGGAUGGGCAAGUCUGCUGUGAAAGCUCCUGGCUUAACCGGGAGUGGUCGGUGGAAACUGCCAAUCUGGAGGACGGUAGAGGCUGGUGGAAUUCCCGGUGUAGUGGUGAAAUGCGUAGAGAUCGGGAGGAACACCUGUGGCGAAGGCGGCCAGCUGGGCCGGACCUGACGCUGAGGCGCGAAAGCGUGGGGAGCAAACAGG